UCCCUGGUGGUCCAGUGGCUAAAAGACUCAGCACUGCCAAUGCAGGGGCCCAGGUUCAAUCCCUGGCCAAGGAA
rfam:Ovis aries breed Texel chromosome 2, whole genome shotgun sequence.